UACAGGGGGUGCAAACGUUGCUCGGAAUUAUUGGGCGUAAAGCGCACGUAGGCGGUUCGUUAUGUCAGAUGUGAAAGCCCUUGGCUCAACUGAGGAAGUGCAUCUGAAACUGGCGAGCUAGAGUAUGUAAGAGGGUCGCGGAAUUCCCGGUGUAGAGGUGAAAUUCGUAGAUAUUCGCAAGAACACCAGUGGCGAAGGCGGCUCACUGGCCCGGUACUGACGCUGAGGUGCGAAAGCGUGGGGAGCAAACAGG
rnacentral:rRNA from 1 species